rnacentral:rRNA from 1 species
GAUGAACGCUGGCGGCGUGCCUAAUACAUGCAAGUCGAGCGAACAGACGAGGAGCUUGCUCCUCUGACGUUAGCGGCGGACGGGUGAGUAACACGUGGAUAACCUACCUAUCAGACUGGGAUAACUUCGGGAAACCGGAGCUAAUACCGGAUAAUAUAUUCAACCGCAUGGUUCAAUAGUGAAAGACGGUUUUGCUGUCACUUAUAGAUGGAUCCGCGCCGCAUUAGCUAGUUGGUAAGGUAACGGCUUACCAAGGCAACGAUGCGUAGCCGACCUGGGCGGGUGAUCGGCGACACUGGAACUGAGACACGGUCCAGAGUCCUACGGGAGGGAGCAGUAGGGAAUGUGCGGCAAUGGGCGAAAGCAUGACGGAGCAACGCCGAGUGAGUGAUGAAGGUGUUCGGAUCGGAAAGCUCUGUUAUUAGGGAAGAACAAAUGUGUAAGGAAAUAUGCACGUAGUGACGGUACCUAAUCAGAAAGCCCCGGCUAACUACGUG